rnacentral:pre_miRNA from 1 species
UUACUACUCCCUCCGUCCAACAAAAAAUGUCUCAAGUUUGUCAAAAAUUGGAUGUAUUUAAACAUGACUUAGUAUAUAGAUGCAUUCAAAUUUAGUCAAAGUUGAGACAUCUUUUGUUGAACGGAGGAAGUACUAU